rnacentral:rRNA from 1 species
CUAGCGGCGGACGGGUGAGUAACGCGUGAGCAACCUGUCCUUCACAGGGGGAUAACACAGCGAAAGUUGUACUAAUGCCGCAUAAGACCACAUUGGGACAUCCCAGAGGGGUCAAAGGAGCAAUCCGGUGAAGGGUGGGCUCGCGUCCGAUUAGAUAGUUGGUGAGGUAACGGCCCACCAAGUCGACGAUCGGUAGCCGACCUGAGAGGGUGAUCGGCCACAUUGGGACUGAGACACGGCCCAAACUCCUACGGGAGGCAGCAGUGGGGAAUAUUGGGCAAUGGGGGAAGCCCCCUGACCCAGCAACGCCGCGUGAGGGAAGAAGGUUUUCGGAUCGUAAACCUCUGUCCUUGGUGAAGAGGAAGAGACGGUAGCCAAGGAGGAAGCCCCGGCUAACUACGUGCCAGCAGCCGC